rnacentral:rRNA from 1 species
CUUAACUUAGCGGCGGACGGGUGAGUAAUACUUAGGAAUCUGCCUAUUAGUGGGGGACAACAUUUCGAAAGGAAUGCUAAUACCGCAUACGUCCUACGGGAGAAAGCAGGGGAUCACUUGUGACCUUGCGCUAAUAGAUGAGCCUAAGUCGGAUUAGCUAGUUGGUGGGGUAAAGGCCUACCAAGGCGACGAUCUGUAGCGGGUCUGAGAGGAUGAUCCGCCACACUGGGACUGAGACACGGCCCAGACUCCUACGGGAGGCAGCAGUGGGGAAUAUUGGACAAUGGGGGGAACCCUGAUCCAGCCAUGCCGCGUGUGUGAAGAAGGCCUUUUGGUUGUAAAGCACUUUAAGCGAGGAGGAGGCUACUCUAGUUAAUACCUAGAGAUAGUGGACGUUACUCGCAGAAUAAGCACCGGCUAACUCUGUGCCAGCAGCCGCGGUAAUACAGAGGGUGCGAGCGUUAAUCGGAUUUACUGGGCGUAAAGCGUGCGUAGGUGGCCAAUUAAGUCAAAUGUGAAAUCCCCGAGCUUAACUUGGGA